rnacentral:rRNA from 1 species
CUACGGGUCGCUCCAGUGAGGAAUAUUGCACAAUGGGGGGAACCCUGAUGCAGCAACGCCGCGUAGAGGAUGACGCAUUUCGGUGUGUAAACUCCUUUUAUAUGUCAAGAAAAUGACGGUAGCAUAUGAAUAAGCACCGGCUAACUCCGUGCCAGCAGCCGCGGUAAUAGCGGAGGGUGCAAGCGUUACUCGGAAUCACUGGGCGUAAAGGACGCGUAGGCGGGUUGGAAAGUCAGGUGUGAAAUCCUACAGCUUAACUGUAGAACUGCACUUGAAACUUCUAAUCUAGAGUAUGGGAGGGGGAGAUGGAAUUAGUGGUGUAGGGGUAAAAUCCGUAGAUAUCACUAGGAAUACCUAAAGCGAAGGCGAUCUCCUGGAACAUUACUGACGCUAAGGCGUGAAAGCGUGGGGAGCAAACAGGAUUAGAUACCCUAGUAGUC